UAAAAAUUAUAUCGUUUCACACAUAAUUUUUAGCUUUGGCGUCUUUGAAGCAGUAUCGGAUUUGCAACGGUCACUAUGUUUGCUGCUGAAGAAAUUCCCAGCCGUUUUCCGGGCAUAACAGAAGGAAGAGGAGUUUCAACGUUUUUUACUCCAACCAAUGAUUCUUGCAGCCACCGAAUAACCUGCUCCGGUCAAAUACUAUGAGGAAGAAGAUGAACCGCUUGCUCCGAAAUAGCCUUUGAAAGCUGCCAUGAUUGCCGUUCUUCGAGAGAAUCCGACUG